ACCUCGCUGAGGAGUCCCAAAUAGACCGAAACGCGCGUCCCGGAU
rnacentral:hammerhead_ribozyme from 1 species